rnacentral:rRNA from 1 species
GACGAACGCUGGCGGCGUGCUUAACACAUGCAAGUCGAACGGAAAGGCCCUGCUUUUGUGGGGUGCUCGAGUGGCGAACGGGUGAGUAACACGUGAGUAACCUGCCCUUGACUUUGGGAUAACUUCAGGAAACUGGGGCUAAUACCGGAUAGGAGCUCCUGCUGCAUGGUGGGGGUUGGAAAGUUUCGGCGGUUGGGGAUGGACUCGCGGCUUAUCAGCUUGUUGGUGGGGUAGUGGCUUACCAAGGCUUUGACGGGUAGCCGGCCUGAGAGGGUGACCGGCCACAUUGGGACUGAGAUGCGGCCCAGACUCCUACGGGAGGCAGAAGUGGGGAAUAUUGCACAAUGGGCGGAAGCCUGAUGCAGCAACGCCGCGUGCGGGAUGACGGCCUUCGGGUUGUAAACCGCUUUCGCCUGUGACGAAGCGUGAGUGACGGUAAUGGGUAAAGAAGCACCGGCUAACUACGUG